UAAAGAAAUUUGAACCUGGUGGAGCACCAUACUAGUAAGUCAAUUCCCUUCCUCUCUCCCUAUCAGGGGAAAAGAAAAAAGAAAAAAAAUCUCCCAUCUUCAACAUGACCUCAGUGAUUUCUCUUCAUUCAUCUGAUCAUCUUCCUCAUUCUUGAAGUCAUGGCUUUGAUGUUGAGGUUACUAGUGAGGCUGCUGAUGGCACUAAUGUCGCAGCCAGCUGCCUCUGUCACAACCUUACUGUAUUACAGUAAUCUUCUUCCAAGAAACUUGAACUUAGAGCGAUUGGUUCGUCAAGAAUUGCUCCACGAGGAAAACUAUUUGUUUAAUUUUCUCAUCAGUGUCUUGAGAUGUUUCUGAGUGAGGACUGCAUACUUUUCCUGCAAUGGUAUCCAUGGAUGGAUCGGUGAGUUGUAAUCUUUUACGUUUGAACAGAUGCAAGAAAUUAUGAGGCUUUUAUACAGUACUCCUGAAGAGUUGGAAUCAAUAUUUUGUAAUUAGGAUUAUUUGCAUGUUAAAGGGAGAGGCUGAGUCUGUGAAAUGGAGAGCAUGAGCGUUGAUGAUUUGAUAUUUAACUGAAGUAUUCAAUGUUACAUAUACAUUUCUCUUGCUUUUAUUGAUAUUAUUUUUUGGGAUUGCAAUCAA